GGGCCUUUGGAGCAUUUGAUAAGCAGUAAUGGCGGAGGCUGCAGCUCCCGGAACAACAGCCACAACAUCAGGAGCAGGAGCGGCAGCGGCGGGCGCGUACGGCGGCAGCGGCAACAGCUGGACUAAACAGGUCACCUGUAGGUAUUUUGUGUAUGGGAUUUGUAAGGAAGGAGGUAACUGUCGCUACUCGCAUGACCUCUCUGACCGUCCGUGUGGAGUAGUGUGCAGUUGUUUUCAGCGAGGGUACUGUCUUUAUGGAGACCACUGCAGAUGUGAACAUAGUAAGCCGUUGAAACAGGAAGAAGCAACUGCUACAGAGCUAACUACAGAAUCAUCCCUUGCUGCUUCCUCAAGCCUCUCCUCGAUAGUUGGACCACUUGUUGAAAUGAAUACAAACGAAUCUGAGUCAAGAAAUUCAAACUUUGCAACUGUAGGAGCAGGUUCAGAGGACUGGGCGAAUGCCAUUGAGUUUGUUCCUGGGCAACCCUACUGUGGCCGUACUGUGCCUUCCUGCACUGAAGCACCCCUGCAGGGCCCAGUGACCAAGGAAGAAUCAGAAAAAGAGCAAACCGCGGUGGAAACAAAGAAUGAGCUGUGCCCCUAUGCUGCAGUGGGACAGUGCCGAUAUGGGGAGAACUGUGUGUAUCUCCACGGAGAUUUAUGUGACAUAUGUGGGCUGCAGGCCCUGCAUCCGAUGGAUGCUGCCCAGAGAUCACAGCAUAUACAAUCGUGCAUUGAAGCCCAUGAGAAGGCUAUGGAGUUCUCAUUUGCUGUGCAGCGCAGCAAGGACAGGGUGUGUGGGAUCUGCAUGGAGGUGGUCUAUGAGAAAGCCAACCCCAGCGAGCACCGCUUCGGGAUCCUCUCCAACUGCAACCACACCUUCUGUCUCAAGUGCAUUCGCAAGUGGAGGAGUGCUAAGGAAUUUGAGAGCAGGAUCGUCAAGUCCUGCCCACAAUGCCGAAUCACAUCUAACUUUGUCAUUCCAAGUGAGUACUGGGUGGAGGAGAAAGAAGAGAAGCAGAAACUCAUUCAGAAAUACAAGAAAGCAAUGAGCAACAAGGCAUGCAGGUAUUUUGAUGAAGGACGUGGGAGCUGCCCAUUUGGGGAGAACUGUUUUUACAAGCAUGUGUACCCUGAUGGCCGUAGAGAGGAGCCACAGAGACAGCAAGAGGAAACAUCAAGCAGACACCAGGCCCAAGGAGGGAACCACUUCUUGGAAUUCUUUGAGGAAGGAGCGAACAGCAACCCCUUUGAUGAUGAAGAAGAGGCUGUCACCUUUGAGCUGGGAGAGAUGUUGCUUAUGCUUUCGACUGCAGGUGGGGACAACGAACUGACAGACUCUGAAGAUGUGUGGGACUUGUUUUGUGAUGAAGAAUUUUGUGUCUUAGAUCUAUAGAAACCUUGCGUGGUGUGUGAGCUGGUCUGCUGACCCCAGACAGCAGCUGUCCCCUGUGGUGGUGUGGCAGUGCCUGUGUUCUCUCCUAGGCAGGCCUAUCAACUCCAGGUGCUGUGGUAAGAAUAUUUACCCAGGGCCUGUCUUCUCAACCCCCUCACCUUUCCCCAAGGAGUGUGUUGUUUUCCCUGUUGAAAAAAGUUACAAAAAUAAGUCUUAAAGUUAUUUUUUUGUAACACGAAUUUAACUGUCGGACAGUUAGUUUACGUGUGUUGCAUCAUCUGUUUUCAACCAGAUUGUGUUUAUGGACUUUUCACACACUAACUUUGAGGACCCCAGGUUCAAAACGAAAAGCAGUGGCCCUGCUUUGGGAUCCAAUGAUAGGAGUGAUGGGUGAAGGGAUCUAAGCUGGCCAGUAGCC